ACGCUCGACACCUACGGGAGGCAGCAGUGGGGAAUAUUGGGCAAUGGGCGCAAGCCUGACCCAGCAACGCCGCGUGAAGGAUGAAGGCUUUCGGGUUGUAAACUUCUUUUAACAGGGACGAAAUAAAUGACGGUACCUGUUGAAUAAGCCACGGCUAACUACGUGCAGCAGCCGCGGUAAUCUGAGCGGGCUGGCAAGGC
rnacentral:rRNA from 1 species